rnacentral:snoRNA from 1 species
GUAUAUGAUGAUCUUACCACAAUUCACGACGGUCUACUGUGUUUGGAGACUUGUAAUUUCCUUACCUUGAUGAUAAAUUUAGGCCUUGACCGGCCGUGGUCCCUGAGA